GACGAACGCUGGCGGCGUGCUUAACACAUGCAAGUCGAGCGAUGAAGUUUUUUCGGAAAUGGAUUAGCGGCGAACGGGUGAGGAACACGUGAAGAAUCUGCCCUCCACUUUGGGAUAACACAGGGAAACCUGUGCUAAUACCGAAUAUUGAAACAUAAGUGGCAUCACUGAGUUUUGAAAGAAUUUCGGUGGAGGAUGACUUCGCGGCCUAUCAGCUAGGUGGUGAGGUAAUGGCUCACCAAGGCAACGACGGGUAGCCGGCCUGAGAGGGCGACCGGCCACACUGGGAAUGAGACACGGCCCAGACUCCUACGGGAGGCAGCAGUGGGGAAUAUUGGGCAAUGGAGGAAGCUCUGACCCAGCGACGCCGCGUGCGGGAUGGAGGCCUUCGGGUUGUAAACCGCUUUCAGUAGGGAAGAAGCGAAAGUGACGGUACCUACAAAAGAAGCACCGGCUAACUAUGUGCCAGCCGCCGCCGUAA
rnacentral:rRNA from 1 species